GAUGAACGCUGGCGGCGUGCCUAAUACAUGCAAGUCGAGCGAACGGACGAGAAGCUUGCUUCUCUGAUGUUAGCGGCGGACGGGUGAGUAACACGUGGAUAACCUACCUAUAAGACUGGGAUAACUUCGGGAAACCGGAGCUAAUACCGGAUAAUAUUUUGAACCGCAUGGUUCAAAAGUAAAAGACGGUCUUGCUGUCACUUAUAGAUGGAUCCGCGCUGCAUUAGCUAGUUGGUAAGGUAACGGCUUACCAAGGCAACGAUGCAUAGCCGACCUGAGAGGGUGAUCGGCCACACUGGAACUGAGACACGGUCCAGACUCCUACGGGAGGCAGCAGUAGGGAAUCUUCCGCAAUGGGCGAAAGCCUGACGGAGCAACGCCGCGUGAGUGAUGAAGGUCUUCGGAUCGUAAAACUCUGUUAUUAGGGAAGAACAUAUGUGUAAGUAACUGUGCACAUCUUGACGGUACCUAAUCAGAAAGCCACGGCUAACUACGUGCCAGCAGCCGCGGUAAUACGUAGGUGGCAAGCGUUAUCCGGAAUUAUUGGGCGUAAAGCGCGCGUAGGCGGUUUUUUAAGUCUGAUGUGAAAGCCCACGGCUCAACCGUGGAGGGUCAUUGGAAACUGGAAAACUUGAGUGCAGAAGAGGAAAGUGGAAUUCCAUGUGUAGCGGUGAAAUGCGCAGAGAUAUGGAGGAACACCAGUGGCGAAGGCGACUUUCUGGUCUGUAACUGACGCUGAUGUGCGAAAGCGUGGGGAUCAAACAGGAUUAGAUACCCUGGUAGUCCACGCCGUAAACGAUGAGUGCUAAGUGUUAGGGGGUUUCCGCCCCUUAGUGCUGCAGCUAACGCAUUAAGCACUCCGCCUGGGGAGUACGACCGCAAGGUUGAAACUCAAAGGAAUCGACGGGGACCCGCACAAGCGGUGGAGCAUGUGGUUUAAUUCGAAGCAACGCGAAGAACCUUACCAAAUCUUGACAUCCUUUGACAACUCUAGAGAUAGAGCCUUCCCCUUCGGGGGACAAAGUGACAGGUGGUGCAUGGUUGUCGUCAGCUCGUGUCGUGAGAUGUUGGGUUAAGUCCCGCAACGAGCGCAACCCUUAAGCUUAGUUGCCAUCAUUAAGUUGGGCACUCUAAGUUGACUGCCGGUGACAAACCGGAGGAAGGUGGGGAUGACGUCAAAUCAUCAUGCCCCUUAUGAUUUGGGCUACACACGUGCUACAAUGGACAAUACAAAGGGCAGCGAAACCGCGAGGUCAAGCAAAUCCCAUAAAGUUGUUCUCAGUUCGGAUUGUAGUCUGCAACUCGACUACAUGAAGCUGGAAUCGCUAGUAAUCGUAGAUCAGCAUGCUACGGUGAAUACGUUCCCGGGUCU
rnacentral:rRNA from 1 species